GUUUGAUCCUGGCUCAGAUUGAACGCUGGCGGCAUGCCUUACACAUGCAAGUCGAACGGUAACAGGUCUUCGGAUGCUGACGAGUGGCGAACGGGUGAGUAAUACAUCGGAACGUGCCCGAUCGUGGGGGAUAACGCAGCGAAAGCUGUGCUAAUACCGCAUACGAUCUACGGAUGAAAGCGGGGAUCGCAAGACCUCGCGCGGACGGAGCGGCCGAUGGCAGAUUAGGUAGUUGGUGGGAUAAAAGCUUACCAAGCCGACGAUCUGUAGCUGGUCUGAGAGGACGACCAGCCACACUGGGACUGAGACACGGCCCAGACUCCUACGGGAGGCAGCAGUGGGGAAUUUUGGACAAUGGGCGCAAGCCUGAUCCAGCCAUGCCGCGUGCAGGAUGAAGGCCUUCGGGUUGUAACUGCUUUUGUACGGAACGAAAAGACUACUCUCUAAUACAGGGGUGAAUGACGGUACCGUAAGAAUAAG
rnacentral:rRNA from 1 species